rnacentral:rRNA from 1 species
CCUACGGGAUGCUGCAGUGAGGAAUAUUGGUCAAUGGGCGGAAGCCUGAACCAGCGAAGUAGCGUGCAGGAUGACGGCCCUACGGGUUGUAAACUGCUUUUAUACGGGAAUAACGCGCCUUACGUGUAGGGCUUUGCAUGUACCGUAUGAAUAAGGACCGGCUAAUUCCGUGCCAGCAGCCGCGGUAAUACGGAGGGUCCGGGCGUUAUCCGGAUUUAUUGGGUUUAAAGGGAGCGUAGGCCGCAUGUCAAGCGUGCUGUGAAAUGUCCGGGCUCAACCCGGGCCUUGCAGCGCGAACUGGCGAGCUUGAGUCCGCGGAAGGCAGGCGGAAUUCGUCGUGUAGCGGUGAAAUGCUUAGAUAUGACGAAGAACCCCGAUGGCGAAGGCAGCCUGCAGCAGCGGAACUGACGCUGAUGCUCGAAAGCGCGGGUAUCGAACAGGAUUAGAUACCCCUGUAGUC